UUUGGACUUGUUAAGCAAGUGGCUUGCCGCCUAGGCUGGGUGGGGGUGGGGGUGGGCUUUUCCACUGGCGGCCGGUUCAACUUUAGUCCAGAAAGAAGAAACUGCGCUUCGGGGGUUCAGGUCUGGCCCGGAAGGAAGCCAUGAGCCUUUCGGCACGGCAGGAGUUUCUGCCACAUCUCCCCCGGGACCCGGGGAGGAAGGAAGGAGGCGCAGGCCGCACCCAGACCUCCAGGCUGGGACCUGGCCUGCUGGGGAAGAGACUGCUCAGAUCCACGCACAGUGGUAGCUCCCGGGGCAGAGGCCAUUUUGAACCUCGGUUCCCUCAUUUGUGAAAUAUACUCCUUAAUAGCCAGGAUGCAGGGAAGGUGUAAACACUGAGGAGGACCACCUGUACAAAGCUGGCUAACACUUGUGUUCUUUUCAGUCCGUGAAGAUGGGAGGCCAGUUCCCAGUGGUAAAAUCUAGCCCCGUGGAAGCUUAGGUUUCUCAGAACCAGGGACAGUGAGUUUGAAAGAACUGGACAAAGAAGGACAAAAAAAUAAUAAUAAU